AGCAGCCGCGGUAAUUCCAGCUCCAAUAGCGUAUAUUAAAGUUGUUGCAGUUAAAAAGCUCGUAGUUGAAUUUCGGGAUCAAUAUGUUGGUCGUGCCUUGGUACGUACUGGCAUUAUUGGUUUCUACCUUCUGAAGAACCUCGAUGUCAUUAAUUUGGUGUCUUGGGGAAUCAGGACUGUUACUUUGAAAAAUUAGAGUGUUUAAAGCAGGCUCGCGCUUGAAUACAUUAGCAUGGAAUAAUGAAAUAGGACGUUUGACUCUAUUUUGUUGGUUUCUAGGAUUGACGUAAUGAUUAAUAGGGAUAGUUGGGGGCAUUAGUAUUCAAUUGUCAGAGGUGAAAUUCUUGGAUUUAUUGAAGACUAACUACUGCGAAAGCAUUUGCCAAGGAUGUUUUCAUUAAUCAAGAACGAAAGUUAGGGGAUCGAAGACGAUCAGAUACCGUCGUAGUCUUAACCAUAAACUAUGCCGACUAGGGAUCGGAUGAUGUUAAUUUUUAAUGACUCACUCGGCGCCUUAAC
rnacentral:rRNA from 1 species